rnacentral:lncRNA from 1 species
UAAUAUUUCAACUUACAAACCUCACUUGACCAGACUACGUUCCGUUAAAUGGCAUCCACCUGAUCAUGGUUUUGUCAAGCUCGAUUUCGACGCUUUAGUACAACAUACUCGUGCGGCUAUUGGGUUUGAUAUGGUUCAGCUGGGUGAGGGUGUAUCUAGAGGUUUUGUCUUGUAGCUUCUGUUGUUUUCUUGAAUGAAAUCGUAAAAGAAAAAGAAUCCAGUAAAAACAAGUCAUAGAAACAAUACACAAUAUCUCGCCCUAUGAAAGGCUUGCCAUAUGAGAGUUAUCGCUUAGGAUCCUAGAAACUAGAACCCUACGUAAAGCUACAUCUAAUACCAGAAAAACAAAGUAAUUAAAUACCGUGCUACCAUGCAUAUUUCAUAAUUUAGCAACUUUACGUAGCGUUGGAAAGGGAAUUUUGUCAAGUUCCCUCCCUGAUUUAUUCAUAAACUUUGGGACAUCCCUAUACAAGAGGGGGCUUUUCUAAAAGAAUCGACAACCUUCACCCUACCAACGUCCUUAGUAGUCGGUACCUUCUGCGGAGCGGAUUCAAGAGUGUUUGAGCCCAAUGGGUAUUUUUGGUCCAAGACUCAGGGUACGUUUUGGAUAACAUUUAGGCCAGUACCUGUGGCCCUUUUUUAAUGCGAAGCCCACGAAGGGUGGCGAAGUCUGGCAACACGCGAGUUGGAAUUGUGCAAGGAUUCUGAUACCUCGCGGGAUUUUAUGUCCUCGUGGGAUCCUUUGUUCUAGUUCGUGUAGGAUUCUACAGUGCAUGGCGAGGUAGAGUUAGGAAUGGACUGUAGUACCCGUGGGAUAGGAUCGCUUAGUGCUCGAGUUCGCGUACGACGCUACAGUGAUAUGAUGCGGGGCGAUGAGCGAGACCUAGGCGAAGUCUGUUUUGGACACGUGUUACAUGGAUCGCGCUGCUCGCGAGCUGGUCGUUUCCUGGUGGAAUUCUAAUUGCUGAAUCCGAAUGGAUUUGUGAUUAGGUCUCUGCGAAUUGCUUGCGGAUCGCUAUAUAAGGGAGCUUGACACAACGAACAAGACACACAAUCAAUCAUACAAAACAACUGCAAAUCUUCGAGCAUCCUCGAAACCCUAAGUUCUAAGUGCACCUCGCCUUAGAUUUCAGAGCCCGUCUGGACUCGCCUCUCUUUCCCAAUUGUUGCUCUGCUCGUUUCGAACAAUGAGUAUCGAUUCACAGGUGACUAGAUAGUUUGCUCGUAAUUCCUCGCCCGCGAGGUGACACCGGAGCUCUACUUCGCCUGAUUAGAAGUCAAGAACGCGCACCGUUCUCGUUCCGCGUCCGCGCGGUGGCACGCCCUGCAAACCCUAAUUUACUUUUGGUAGCACAAGUUACCUCUCUACCCCUGUUGAGGAUCGUGGCCAAAACAUUGGCACGCCUAGUGGGACACGGGAGUAUAACAUUCUCGCCACCAUUGGGAAAUCAGGCGGAUCCCCAUACGGGAGACCCUCGAUUUCUUGUUUGAAACAUAAAUCUCCAGAAUACAAGCCCCAUAACAGCGCGGCUUGCCGAUCUCUCACCCAAGAAGAGGUUCUCGCUCGGUUUGGCAACCCCGACCACAGCGAAACCACAAUGACAGGUUCACGACCAACCCAAGACGCAGGACUUACUCUGCCCGCGGAUGAAGUCCGCCAGAACUGAAGAAUGAUCUCGACUCGCUCAAGAGGGAGCUCGGCUCGAAGGUCGAUACCACCCAGCAAAACAUCGACUGGCUCAGCUUGAAAGUCGACACCACCCAGCAAAGCGUCCAAGACCUCUCUGAACAGGUCACUAAAGAGAGAACUAUCUGGCUCGCUAACCAAGAACACCUUUCUAGGCUCAGCGAGGAGUUUAACUACGUUGCGGGUAAAGUCAGGGAAGAUAAGGACUUGGUGGACGGCUCCCUUCAAAGGAUCCAGAAAGAUUUGGAUCAGAGCAAGGCGGCUUUCACAAAAACCCUGGAUGUGCAAACCCGUCGCUUGGACGAACACGACACCAAGCUACAACAACAGCAGGACGCUUCUUUCUUUGGAAGUAAGAAUAGCAUGGAAAAGCUUGAGGACUACAAGGAGCAACAUGAUAACUUGAGCUUAAGGGUCCUGCAAGUGGAAGACUGGAUGCGGUCUCAGGCACCAAAGAAUCAUGCUAUGAACUUAAUUAGUUCAAGUGCAACUGAGGGCUCAAGGUAUAUUCCACCUAAUGAACGCCCUAGAGGAAAUCCAAGGGUCGGGGCCCAGAAGACUCCCCAAUUCAUAUUGGGGGCCAGUUCGUCAAAGACGCCACCCCGUCUACCCUCGCCGGGCGGCCCGGGAGUCACACUCAGGGGCACUGGUGGCUUCCCAUCUCAAGGGAUCGGGACACCAGAUGACCCAGUUAUAGCUUAUUCCAGUUCGACCCCUAAGAACAUCGUGCAGGCCCCUAACCUCUCUGCAUGGCACGGCCACGAUCAGGGGGCAGAAUCCACACCAGUAACGGCAGUCGAUUGGCGCCAGCUCAUCUCGAGCAUAGUCAAGGAGCAAACCGGAAAAGGUGAUGCUAACUUGCAUUAUCGGGAUCCCUAUCCUGAUAGCGUGGCACAAUAUCCCUUCCCUCAUAGAUUUAAGAAUAUUGUCUUCACCACUUUCUCCGGAGAGACAAGGGAAGAUGCAGCAACACACAUGGCCCGUUUUAAGGUCCAAUGCGGCCAAUACGGGAAUGAUGAUAUGCUCAAACUCAAACUCUUCGGGACUUCUCUGUCCGGGACUGCUUUCACCUGGUACUCCAGAUUGAAGCCUGGGUCAAUAGCAGAUUGGCCCACUAUGGAAAGACUUUUCCGAGAAACAUACGGCACGAUUGAGCCUGAAGUUGGCCUCGACUCCCUCACACAGAUGAGCCAGCAGAGCAUGGAGUCCGGAGUUUCUUUCCUCCAACGCUUCAAGAUCCAGCAAGCUAAGUGUGAUUACCUGCUACCUGAGCAGGAAGCCAUUAAGUUGGCUAUUAGAGGUCUGGAGCACCGCCAGCGGUUGAAGCAUCAUGGAGAGCGCUUUACUUCCAUGGGCGACCUGAUUAACAAGGUCGGUAGGUACGAGCUAAUCUUGAACGAGCUGGAUGACAAAGCAAAUGCCUCCAAAGGAACUUACAUACCAGGGAAGAAUCGGACAGUGGGGACAUUAAGCCUGCAGGCCCCUACUUAUGACUCCUAUUAUCAAAGGUCUGAGGGAACUCGCCCGGAUCAGGAUCAUGAAGAUAUUGGCGCGGUAGAACUGACUGGCAAGCCAUUGGCUCACAAAUUGAAAAACCUGAAGAUAGCGCGCGAGCCAAUCACCAUCCAGUCCUUUGCAUGGACCAAGCCAGAGUACGAGUCAUACACCUAUAAUGCUAAGAACGCCCAUCUGGUCUUUAAUGACCUCAUCGAGGCAAGAUACGUGCGCUUGGAUCACAAGAUACCGCCCAAGGAAGAGCUGAAGGACAAGAAAUACUGCUCCUUCCACAAUGUUUACAAUCAUGACACCAAAGAUUGUGUCAAGCUUCGAGACCAGCUGCAGACAUGGCUGAAAUCAGGAGAGCUAAAGAUGAAAACACCGGGUAGUACGGCCUCAUUGGUUGAUAUAGACCCUUUCCCGCCCGUAGUUGGCAUGGUCGAGGUAAACUGGGCCAAUCAGACCAAGGAUGACGAUCGACGCCGGGCACCUAAAAGGGGCCGCGAGGAAGGUGACGACAGUGCUCGCCGGCCACGUCGCCAAUACACCUACAAUGAAGAACUUGCACAUGAGGUUUUAGACGAUCUCAUCGACGAUGGGCUCGUCACAGUGGCCAAUUCCUUGCCUUACAUAGAAUAUAAGGAGGGGCGCAUUCACUGCAAGUUUCAUAAUAGCUGGGGGCACAGAACCAGCGAAUGCUAGCAGCUUAGAGACCAGGUUCAAGACUGGCUCGACCUCGGGUAUAUUCGCUUUGAGAAUAAGGGCGACUUCAUGAUUGCAACGGCUGACUUCGCUUGGCCUCGAGUCGGCCAGCGAAGAAUCACAUUAGACUUGUCGCCAAAUGCAGGUUUACGUGAACCGCCGGGCCGAAAUCGCAAACGGCCGGCGAAUAACUAUACUGUCCCGAAUAACCAGCAGGGGAAAGCAGACGACCCAGCUCGACAGUUGGUCGCUAAGCUCGACACAGACCGCCCCUCCCGCAAGGAUAAGGGCAAAGCAGUCAUGAGGGACGAUGGACCGUCCCCCGUUGAAGACUCCCAGCCUAUGAGUCCCAGGACUCGAGAAGAGCUGGAAAGGAGGAUAGAACGUCUCGAGACGUUCGUCUGUACACAUUGGGCAGAGGCGGUACCUUCAUCCCCUGCCACAAGUGAGAUGGACAUGUCAGACUCCAGCGGUGAACGUCACAACCACGAGGCCGCGAGCCCUCGUAAAGGCAUCCUAACCGACCCCUAUAUUCCCCCGACAUCCAAAUCAGCGAUCAAGGACGGGGUCUGGUAUACACAGCAAGGGGGCAAGGCAGUCACCAUCAGCAGGUCUAAGAAGCGAAAACUCCAAAAGCGAUACGGUAGUAUCCUAUGUGCCUUACGGGCUGUCGAAGAGGGUGCUGUACUCCCCUCACAGCUCCCACAAACGCCUGAGCGGAUGUGGAGGGAAGCAGAGGGUUUGCGCGCAUUCCUUCAAAUGCCGCCUGUCACACCCCCAAGGAUUUGCGAGCAGUUCAGCGACGAGCCUACACCCAAAGCAAACGUCUUUUGCCGACUCGUGGUUCCACCAAAGCAGCAUCCACCGCCUUCCAAGCGCAGGCCAUCACCAGAACCUGAAAGAAGAAGGGAUCCACAGCCUUCCAGGCGCAGGCCAUCAGCAGAACCUGAAAGAAGAAGGGAUCCACAGCCUGCUAGGCCCAAACCGUCACCAGAGCCUGAAAAGAGGAGGGAUCAACAGCCUUCCAGGCACAGGCCGCCACCGGAGCCCGAGCGGAGAAAGACUCCGCCUACUGGUCCCAGGCGUAAGCUGUUCACAACCCCGGACCCAGAGUCCAAACGCGAACCGUCUCAGCCCUCACGGCAACGGGAACGUCAAAAUCCGGAGGCCAAUAUCAGAAGGGACUCACCACCACCACAGUAGCCUCGGGCACGGUUUACCCCGGAACCCGAGACUCAGAUGGUUCCCAGAGUAUCCGCCCUACAACGGUUGAAAAAAGACGACAACGAUAAGGCUCCUCUGCCAACAGACAAACAACCGGCCAAGGACCAUCAGCCUUCAACCAAGUCAAUAUGGCGUCCGUGGCAACCCGAGGUUCAAGAGCCACCAAUAGCCGCACAGGCGCCCCCCAGUCCUAACCUCGCCCAACAAAUGGCCCAGCGUUUCCGCGAGAAUUCAGAAGACGACGAGGCACAUUCAGAACCUCGACUUGACCUAGAAGAAGACCGGGACGAAGAGCAGGCAGAAUCAUUCACCUGUAAUAUGAUAGAGGUCUCAGGAUGGGAUGCUGAUGAAGGGUUUAGCAGCGAAGCAGACGCUUUCGCGAUGCUCGAAGGGGAACACGGGAUCAUUGACACUCCUCUGGUCCCAGUUCCUGAACAAUUCUCCUUUUAAGUCGGAAUGGUGUUCUUCAUUUCGGAAAGAUACGCUCUCCCACCAAACACAACCUGCAGUGCGGCGGAUAUUCCCGUCAGCAGCGAGGAUGUCAGUAGCAUACCCNNNNNNNNNNNNNNNNNNNNCCACCCACAUGCGGCCACUGUAUAUCACGGCCGAAGUCGAAGGGAAAAUGAUCAACAAGGUCAUGGUCGACACCGGUGCCGCGGUCAAUGUUGUCACAACCCGUACCAUGGGACUCCUAGACAUUCCGCGCUCGAUGAUCCAAACCACGUCCUUAACAGUCAAGAACUUCACCGGGCAAGUGUCUAGAACCCUAGGCUUCCUAUUCCUACGGGUCAAGGUCGGGCCGGCAUCACGGGUUUACACCUUUUUCGUCGCCGAAUGCGCUUCCUCUUACAGCAUGAUUCUUGGUCGAGAUUGGAUCCACAGAAGUUUUUGCGUGCCUUCCUCCAUGCACCAAGAACUCAUGAUUUGGGACGCCGAGAACCGUGAAGCGGUCAUCAUCAAAGCUGACCCACGGCCAUUCUCUAUCUCCGCCAACUUCAACGAUGCCCGAUAUUAUACUACAGACUUGGGUCCGUUGGAUGUUCAAGGCGUCGAUAACAAGGGCAGCACAUAUGUAAUCACGGCCUCCAAUUUAACGCGAUGGGGACUUACCCAGGCGAAUGACGACUUGCAACGUCCUCACACCAUCGCGAAUCCCACACCCCGUUCUGAUGAAUAGUGCCUUCUCAGAGGAGGCACGCGAGGCUGGCGAGUCCUUGUGCGAAAGACUCCUUUCGUACUGGGCAGAACGCGAAGCCUACGACAAGGUCGCAACUAUGGAAUAUGUAGAUGAAGUGGUAGAUUAUUCCGAUACCAAGGAGGAAGUUAUUCACUUAGCUCCCGCCGCCUUGGACGACACACCACCUCAAGUCCGCGACCCUAUUUCACAAGUUGACGUAGGGACUGCAGAAAAACCCUUACUUAUUUUUAUCAGUGCUAAGUUGGCGGAAGAUGAAAAGGAAGCCCUUCUUGCCCUGUUAUGCGAGUACAGGGAUUGCUUCGCCGACAAGUACGAAGAUAUACCCGGCUUGUCCCCGGACUUGGUCUGCCACCGGUUUCCAACUUAUCCCGACCGACGUCCAGUACGGCAGGACGGCCGGUUCAUGCGAACUGAGACACAGAUCGUAGUCAAGGAAGAGAUCGAAAGCAUGCAUCGAUCGGGCAUCAUCCGCGUGGCAAAAUAUAACGAGUGGCUGUCCAAUGUUGUCCCCGUCCGCAAGAAAAAUGGCAAGAUGCACGUCUGUGUUGAUUACCGCGACCUGAACAACGCAACACCGAAGGAUAUCUACCUCAUGCCUGUGGCUGACCUACUCAUUGAUGCCGCCGCGGGGCACGAGGUGUUAUCCUUUAUGGAUAGAACGGCCGGCUACCAUCAGAUUCCCAUCGCCGAGGAAGAUCGACACAAGACCACCUUUCGCUGCCCUGGUUUUGCCGGCGCGUUCGAGUAUGUUGUCAUGCCUUUCGGACUUAAAAACGCGGGGGCAAUGUACCAGCGCGCCAUGAACCUCAUCUUUCAUGACAUCUUGGGGAAGUUGAUCGAAGUAUACAUCGACGAUGUGGUAGUCAAAACUAAAACACGGGCCACCCAUGUUGAAGACCUGUAGAAGGUGUUUACACGGAUGCGCCGACAUAACCUGAAGAUGAACCCCGCCAAGUGUGUUUUCUUCGCGGAGGCCGGCGAUUUCCUUGGUUUCCUAAUGCAUCAAAGAGGCAUCGAAAUCCCAAAGGACAAGGCACAGGCGGUAAUCACCGCUUCGCCCCCCACCACCAAAAAAGAGCUCCAACAGCUGCUCGGGCGAAUCAACUUUCUCCGCCGUUUCAUAUCAAACGCGGCAGGGAAGGUCCAGCCUUUUUCACCCCUCCUCAAGCUCCAGGGGGCAACCGAGUUUGUCUGGGAACAACAACAUCAACAGGCCUUCGAUCGAAUCAAGGACUACCUUACGAACCCACCAGUCCUGAUUUCACCUCGCGACAGUGCCCCACUUAAACUUUAUAUCGUCGCUGCCGACUUGUCCAUCGGCGGACUCCUGGCCCAAGACGAUGUGAACGGGGUAGAACACGCUGUCUACUACCUUAGCAGGGUGUUAACUGAGUGUGAGACACGAUACUCAUCUAUGGAGAAGUUGUGUCUUGCCCUAUAUUUUGCAGGGUGCAAGCUGCGCUAUUACAUGCUUGCCUUUAUCACGGUUGUGAUUGCUCAACCCGACCUGGUCAAAUACAUGCUCUCUCGCCCUAUCUUGCGGGACGCAUCGGCAAGUGGAUCCUAGCCAUGUCCGAAUUCUCGUUGCAAUAUGUUCCACAAAAGGCAGUAAAAGGACAGGCAAUAGCAGACUUUCUCGCUCAUCACCCACCCUCCGAGCUCACAGUGUUUCGCGAGUUGGAAUUCGCUACCGUGACACUCGCUCCAUGGACCCUGUACUUUGAUGGUUCGCGGACUGACACCGCAGCCAGAGCCGGGAUAGCCAUAGCCAAUCCCGCCGGAGAUCGCUUCUCCUACUCGUUCCAACUCGAUUUCAAAUGCACCAACAACCAGGCUGAGUACGAGGCGCUGAUCAUCGGUCUAGAGAUUUUGUUGGAUUUAGGAGUCCGCGAGGUGCAGAUCUUUGGCGAUUCUUUGUUGGUCGUUAACCAGUUGGUGGAAAAGUUUAAGUGCUUAAGCUCGUCCAUUGAGCCAUACCUGCGCAAGGCAUUUGAGGUGUUGGAUCGAUUCGACGGCGUCUACAUCGAGCACAUACCACGCGAGUACAACUUCGCCGCCAACGAGCUCGCCCAGGUAGCAUCCGGCCUCAGCCUGCGCGACGGCGUGCGCGAACGUUUGCUCAAGGUCGAGCGCUGUACUCUUCCCUCUUUCAUCGCUAGGGGGCAAUUUCAGGCCGACACCCCCGAAGUUGCGGCCUUGGACCCUAUCGACGAGGAUUGGCGGCUAUCGUUUAUCGCCUACCUCCAGAACCCCAACGACGCCGCUCACGCUAGGCAGAUACGUUUCCUUGCCUUAAACUUUGUUUUACGCAAUGGCGAACUCCGGCGGUGUGAGGAAGACGGCAACGACUUCCGCUGCGUGUAUGGGAACGAAGCUAAACGUAUCAUGCGCGAAGUCCAUUGUGGGGUUUGCGGUUCGCACCAGGCCGGGCCAAAAAUGCGUUGGUUAAUCCGUCGCCAUGGGUACUACUGGCCAACCAUUCUGAAAGACUGUAUUGCAUUCGCCAAAGGUUGCCAAGACUGCCAGGAUCACGGACCAGUGCAACAUAUUCCCAACAUCCCGUUGCAGCCUAUCAUUAAACCUUGGCUGGGUCGCGGUUGGGCGAUAGAUUUCGUUGACAUCAUUCAUCCCCACUCUUCUGAGCAGCAUAAGUUCAUUAUUGUCGCCACCGAUUUCUUUACCAAAUGGGUCGAGGCCGAACCACUCAAGGUUGCCUCCGCCAACUCGGUGCGCAACUUUAUUUUCCGCAAUAUCAUUUCCCGUUUUGGUAUCCCGGAGUGCAUCGUUACGGACAGGGGGGCAGCUUUUAUGGCUGAUUCUGUUGUUAAGUACUUACAUGACUACGGCAUCAAGCUCCUCCACUCUACGCCAUAUUAUGCACAGUCCAACGGCCAGGCGGAGGCUAGUAAUAAGGUUAUCCUCGGCAUCCUCCACAAGAUGUUGGAGUUAAACCCGCGUGUCUGGCAUGAGGAACUCUACCACACCUUGUGGACUUACCGCACUUCAAAGAGCGGCCCGACGGAUACCACCCCGUAUGCUCUCAUGUACGGUCACGACGCCGUCCUUCCCCUUGAGAUCAAUAUCGCUUCACUCCGCGUUCAGGAACAGCAUCAACUACUUGGCGAGGAUUAUGUCCAAGCUAUGUGGCAGGAACUUGAAGAUCUUGACGAUCACCGCGUCACCGCUUUCAACAAUCUCGUCCUCGAGAAACAACGCAUCGCACGUUCGUAUGAUAAGGUCACGCGCGGACGGAGCUAUGCUGAGGGCCAGAAAGUGUGGCGUGCGGUUCUCCCACUUGGGGAAAAAACUGACGGUCGGGGUAAGUGGUCCGCUCGAUGGGAAGGCCCCUUUAUUAUUCAUCGCAUACUCCCUAAGGGGGCAUACCACCUGCGCGACUUGGACGGUACCAUUCAUCGCAAUCCUAUUAAUGGCCGCUUCCUCAAGCGCCACAUUGCAGGAGUUUGGGAACGCGAGGACCCUCCACCUUCCCCCGACCCCGUCACCACAGUCAAUAGUGCUACGCGCCAUCACGUUCUCGCUCCGCCGCCUAACACUAGGGGGCAAUCCGGAAUAGACGACUGAUAGAGUACGUUGUAACAUACCAGCCUAAAAAGGCCAGUGUAAGAUUGGGGCCUAUUCCAGAGGCCCUAAAUAAGGAUAACUCUAUUUUUCUUCAUUUUCUGUAAACGUGCAAAGUCUAAACACAAAGGCCAGUACAAGAUUGGGGCCUAUUCCAGAAGCCCUAAAAAACAAUAAAUUUAUUUAUUUUGCCCUUUUUGGCGUUGUUUCAGUACAAGUUUCGAACAUCGGCUUUGCGGCCGAAGCAACUACAUUGACAGAAAGGGUGAAAUUAAGCUAUGUUUACAAACGAAGGCAUAGAUCUACAGAUAUUGGAGGCCUCAACCCGCAUAUCUUGCAGGGUUGAAGAAGAGACUGCCGCCGCAUCCUUCGUUUAAAGUUGGCGAACGUCCCGCUUCUUUAGACCAGCACGAGCCUUGACACCGACCCGGACCUAAGACAAAUUGUUGGGAAGCUAGAGGUCCACUGGACCAGGGUCCCUCAUGCUACCGGUCACGCCUGGAAGGUGCUUGAAAGGCACUAACCAGAACCUGAAGCGCAAGCGAAUGCGGAGCCUCGAGAGCCUCACGUUUGGACAGAACAGCCAGUGCAAGGCAGAAUGUACCCAACUAUUAGUUCGUCCAAACAAAGGCUUGACCUGAGAGUAGAUUUUCAGAAUCACUCCCGGCCUGAGAUUAGAUUUUCAGAAUUAGAAAAAACGAAGAGUGAAAAUGUGAGGCGGGGGCUUUGCUUUAAGCAGGGACAAGAGGAUGUACAGAAGGGUAUAAGAGCCCAUGGCAAGAGGGCAAAGACUUAACUGGUACUUCGCCCCGGCCAAGCGUUUCUUUUUAUAGGCGAAAAUGGUGAUUUUCCUUUCAACAGAUGUCCUCCAUGCAGCGAUUUGCUCCGAGAUAUGAGCUUUGGAGAUAAGGUCAGACGCGUUGUUCCAUAAUGACUGCCCGCGUUCCAAGCGAGUAGUUGCAUUGGAAACCCCCACCAAAUCUUGGAUGAAGAUUUUUUCCUGGGAAGGCAGUUCUUACACAAGAAUUGACAAGAACGGGAAAAAUUUGAUUCAAUAAUAAUAUUAUUAUUAAAGGUUCAUACAAAGGGGGCAAAGCGCUGGUCAGGCCUAAACCCGCCUAGAAGCCCUAUACAAAUCUAUGAGAAGGCCUUCUAAGGCCAACUCUUCAACAUCCGCCUGGGCUUGGGCUUCGUCGGCAGCAGCAAUAGCCGAGUCCAAAGCUUCCUGGGCCUCUUCCGCGGCCUGCACGUGGGUUUCUGCUUCUUCAGCUCGAGCCAAGUUCUGGCGAGCUUGAGCAAGCUGAGCUUGUAGCUCCGCUAUCUGAGCCUCCAGGGCCUCCACCUGCCGAGCAUAGACAGUGCAUGGGUUCUCUAAAGACGCCUCAGGGAUUUCAGCGUCUUCAAGCUCGGCUAAAAGGGCUGCCAUCUGAUCGUCUAAGGCUUGGCGGACUUUCUCGUGAGCAGCCGACUGGGCACCGACAUCUUGAACUCGGCGAGCCUGCAGCUCGACAGCAUCGGUAAGUUCCAACACAUGGUCUAGAGCUGGAUUGCUGCCAGCGAGGUGCCGAGUCAGAGCUUCAUAGGCCUCGCGGGCGCGCCUCACCAAGUCGAAUACGUUCAUGUGGGGACCUUGGCGCAGUAACCCGUGAAAGAAAGCCCGGGCCAGGCGAAUGGGCUCUGGAUCGGCAGGCGGGGUAGUCCGGGCCCGAAGACGAGCGGUCCGGGUAGCCAAAGAAGAAGCCGCCUCGCCAGAUGUUCUCGUUGGGGCCGGAGUGGUUGGUUCAACCUCUGCAACCGCCUCAAUCUCGGGAACGGGCGGUGGGGCCUCAAACCGAGUAGGGACUGUCGGUUCUUCGGUGGUCUGGGCCGCUGAGUCUGGUUGCAAAGGAGAGGGCUCAAGCACCGGUUGAAGGUCCUUUGGCGGAACCGUCGAGGGGGCAGCAAAAUCAGAAAGCCGGGUGGUCUGGCCGAGAUCUUCAUCUUGAGCAGGAGCCGAGGUAGGCUCUGGAGGCGGGCCAGUUUCGCCUAGAGCGUCGGUUGGAGAAGGGGGUCGCACGGCGAUUUCCUCUGUAACCAUGGUUUGAUCCCCGACGGUUGGUUCCGGGAUUGGGACUUCAACUAUUGCUGUUGCUCCUUCAAUGACAGCGAGGCGAGGUUGGAUGCGGCGGCGAACCUGUCAAAUACAAACUUAGCAAAUCGUUUGUUGGCUUUAAUGAGUUUGGUUCGAAGAAAGGUCGCUUACCAAAGCGUGCUCUUGCCGAUAUCAUUCAUCCUCUAGCAGCUCUUCUUCGUCCUCGACAGGGCGCUUCCGCGAGCCUUCGCCGCUUGUUGGCCGGGGAAUAACGGGAGCAGUCUCACCGUCAUGGUCCGCAGCGGGUUCCUCUUGAGCAGGCGCUUUCCCUUUGUCUCCGGCACCCUCAGGUCUUCUGAUAGUUCUCCGGCGGGGGGCAGACUGUAAAGAUAGACAGGAGAGUUAGGGAGAAGCAUUUCGUCGAAGUGAUAAAGGCGGUUUGAAAUUUACAUAGUUAGUGGCAUACCUCGGGUGCGGGAUCGCGUUCUCGAAUGACAAUCCCCGUCGAGCGACGAAUAGUGGGAACUGGUGGGAGCGCAGGCUUAGACCCUGUCGCAGCCUUUGAACCGCCCUCUUCACGGUCGCGCUGGGCAUCAAGAAUGACGCGGUCUGAUUCGCCCAGAGUGUCGUACAGAGGAUAAAAGAUGGCAGCGAAGACAGCAUCAUCUGGGAACCCCCAAUGGUUGUCGGAUAAGGAUCGCCACCAAGAGAGGUAAGCGGGGUCAACACCCCGCGAAGGCUCAAUCUCUAGCAAGUCAGGAGUGAGAGGGAAAAUGUUCUGCAGCGGGGUAACCCGGUCGGACUCGCCAAUCUUCCUCCAGGAGGUGUACUUGUUCACCGAAUGGAAGAGUGGAUAGGGGAUCCCUUGAGAGAAGCCAAGUUGUCUGGCGAAGUGGUUGGGGGCAUACAGCUCGAAGCCUUGUUCAUCCUCGGCGAGCUGAAGGUCGCAGCAUGAGGAUGCUCUCAUGAAGACGUUCUUGGCGUCAGAGUCCGAGUCAGAGCGAGGGAAGAAGCCCGUUGAUAAGACUUCAGGAUGGCGCUGGCGAACCAUCAUGUCUAUGGUGGGAGGUGGUUCGAGUUGGUUGUACAAGAUGGAGAGGCUGGCGAAGAAGGACAGGGGAGUCCUGUUCGCAGCGUUCCUGCACACCGCGAAGCCAAGCAGUUGGUCCUCGGGCAGAAAUUCCAGCGGGGCUCGCCGAAAGAGCGGGAAGUACAGCUGUGUCCAUAAGUCCAAGAUCCACAGAGGGCCAGCGGAGAGAUUGAAGGGUCUUAGGGACAGCAUGUGCAGGGUCCGGUAGAGCGCGCCCAGCACGGGCUGCCCUAGCCCUACUUCGAUCCCAUUGUAGAGUGCCUCGGCCAGCUUUACCCAUUUCCCUGUAGGCUUGUGAGCACUGCCACAGAAUAUGAAUUUAUCAAGCCAAUACUCAAGGAAAGCGAUACCUCCUUCGUGUUGUUCUGCAUGGCCGAUGUAGAACUUCCUCCAUACUCCAUAUGAGCCCUUCAGGGCGCGGCGGGCCCCCAGGUUGCAGGAGUGCGUAAACUCGGUCGAUGCAAAAUCGCCUGGCGCAUAUGGUUUUGCAUGAAUCGGCACCCCGGUGAUGGUGAGAAUGUCCAGCAGAGAAAUGCCCAUUUGCCCGAAGGGGAAAUCGAAGGUGUUGGUGACACUGUUCCAUAAGCAGGCCGCGGCAGCAAUAGGUGCUCGAUCAGCGUGAGGAGGCAGCGAGAAACUCAAAGCAAUGGCUUCGCUGAUGCCGGUCGCUUCCCAGAUCGCUUGAUCGGUCUGGAAGCGAGCCGCAUACCAUGCCCGGUCCUCCGCGGUGACGCUGGGCCAUUCCCCGACCCGGAUAUUUGUGUGAGAGCGGGCUUGGUGGAACCAGGAGGCGAAGUUUCCCGGCUCACGACGUUGGGCAAGGAUUGGUCGGCGCACAGAGGCGGUAUAGUGGUUCAGAUCAGCGGCGGACGGAGGUUGUGAAGGAGUCGGACCGAGCAGGGCUGCCCCUGUUUCAAGGAAAUAAAUGGGUGUUCCUUGAGGAGGGUUGUUAGCAAAACGACGAGCGAGGCCGGUCGACCAAGAGCUCGUCACCGUGAGGUUAAGGUUUGGAUCAUUAGCAAUUGGUUUGGGAGCCAUUGUUUCUGGUCGGAGUGAGUCUGGUGGUGAAGUUUGGUUGGUUGCAGAAGAAAGGGAGAAGACUGGUUGGAAAGCGAUGGUGAGAUAUGGGGACCCGCAUUCGAGGUUUAUAAAGGAGACAGACCGUAACGCCUUUUCAAUCAGUAGCCGUAAUGAGGAGAUGCGAUGACGACCGAAACGUCAGCAUGUUUCAAAUUUCAAACAGCUGCAAUGAUGAAGGGAGGCGACGAUGCCGAAACGUCAGCACCUUUUGAAUUACGAAUUCCCGUAAAUGGCUCAUUUAGGCCUUUUCGCUUAUCCGUUGCGAAAUGGAUUAAGCUCAAGGCCUAGGGGGCAAUGUUUGAGUCCAGUGGGUAUUUUUGGUCCAAGACUCAGGGUACGUUUUGGAUAACAUUUGGGCCAGUACCUGUGGCCCUUUUUUAAUGCGAAGCCCACGAAGGGUGGCGAAGUUUGGCAACACGCGAGUUGGAAUUGUGCAAGGAUUCUGAUACCAUGCGGGAUUCGAUGUCCUCGCGGGAUCCUUUGUUCUAGUUCGUGUAGGAUUCUACAGUGCAUGGCGAGGUAGAGUUGGGAAUGGACUAUAGUACCCGCGGGAUAGGAUCGCUUAGUGCUCGAGUUCGCGUACGACGCUACAGUGAUAUGAUCGGGGCGAUGAGCGAGACCUAGGCGAAGUCUGUUUUGGACACGUGUUGCAUGGAUCGCGCGGCUCGCGAGCUGGUCGUUUCCUGGUGGAAUUCUAAUUGCUGAGUCCGAAUGGAUUUGUGAUUAGGUCUCUGCGAAUUGCUUGCGGAUCGCUAUAUAAGGGAGCUUGACACAACGAACAAGACACACAAUCAAUCAUACAAAACAACUGCAAAUCUUCGAGCAUCCUCGAAACCCUAAGUUCUAAAUGCACCUCGCCUUAGAUUUCAGAGCCCGUCUGGACUCGCCUCUCUUUCCCAAUUGUUGCUUUACUCGCUUCGAACAAUGAGUAUCGAUUCACAGGUGACUAGAUAGUUUGCUUGUAAUUCCUCGCCCGCGAGGUGACACCGGAGCUCUACUUCGCCUGAUUAGAAGUCAAGAAUGCGCACCGUUCUCGUUCCGCGUCCGCGCGGUGGCACGCCCUGCAAACCCUAAUUUACUUUUGGUAGCACAAGUUACCUCUCUACCCCUGCUGAGGAUCGUGGCCAAAACAAAGAGUGCACUUAAACCACUCAUGUGAGUCCCACUUGUAUUAACAGAUAAACCAAACGGAGUUUGUGACAAAAAAAAAUCGACUUAAUCCCAGAAUAACUCAGCCCCUCC